rnacentral:rRNA from 1 species
CAAAAACAUCGCCUCUUGCAAACCCCAUAUAAGAGGUCCCGCCUGCCCUGUGACAUUGUUUAACGGCCGCGGUAUUAUGACCGUGCGAAGGUAGCGUAAUCACUUGUCUUUUAAUUGAAGACCUGUAUGAAAGGCAUCACGAGAGUUUACCUGUCUCUAUUUUCUAAUCAAUGAAAUUGAUUUCCCCGUGCAGAAGCGGGGAUAUAACCAUAAGACGAGAAGACCCUAUGGAGCUUUAAACACUUAAGUUACUAUCUUAUUUAUUAAUUAAUCUAAAGACUUAACCAUUCUAAUAGUAACCUAACUUAAUGUUUUCGGUUGGGGCGACCAAGGAGUAAAAGAAAACCUCCUUAUCGAUUGAGUAUUUUUACUUAAAAGUCAGAACGACAGUUCUGAUUAAUAGAAUAUCUAACGAAUAAUGACCCAGGGCUAUACCCUGAUCAAUGAACCAAGUUACCCUAGGGAUAACAGCGCAAUCCUUUCUAAGAGUCCAUAUCGCCGAAAGGGUUUACGACCUCGAUGUUGGAUCAGGACAUCCUAAUGGUGCAACCGCUAUUAAGGGUUCGUUUGUUCAACGAUUAAUAGUCCUACGUGAUCUG